GGUCACUGACCGCUCCCCUCCAUCAAAAUGGAACCAGGUGAAAUACCUCCAACCUGUUUUUGGGGCGACGUGUCAGGACCAACGUCGUGUGGGUGUUGGAUUGGGGACAUGCUGCUACAGUGAAGGUGUCUACAGGAGACCAAAUGCCAUGACUCUGAUCAUGUCUUCUUCCAGGUAAAUUAAAGAGGUAAGUUUGUUUGACAUUUAGUCUGGGAACAGUUAAUUUUAAUCAGUCUUACGUCAAAGAGUUCAACAGAACAGACAGGAACACUUAACACAAAUUCAGAAGGGUAGCACAAUAAUUUUUUUUUUUUUUUUUAAUUUUAUUUUCUUAGAACAAAAUUCUCCAUCUGCAUAUCAGACAGGGAGACGCAGAACUGAAUCGGCAGCAAUUAAAAUAACACAAAGAAAAAAGUGAGCCAUAAUAAAAGUUUCAAAAGACAGCUCUUUUACAAAACCACGUCAUCCACUGCCACUGAACCACCUGAGCAUAAAACCAAGUCUUUCAAAUAUGCUUUAUCACAUGUCAGGUUACUGUAUAAGCAUAAUACAAAAAGUAAAAAGGACAACUUAAUAUUGAAGACACACAGGUACUGAUACUCUAUAAACCACAUCUGGGGCAUAAAUAUCAAAAAUUUUAAAUGCAUGUAAGCAUUUGUUAAGUCUGCUUAAUAUACCAAAUUUGCACCAAGUUUGUACUUUGGGGAUCAAUCGCAUUGUGAAUGGUAAUAU